AGCACCGGUCUUCGAAGUAGAAGGUAUGGAUCCCCUUCUCGGUAUCAAGGCGGAGCAACUGGUUCUUUCAGGCCUAGUUCUACGGAUCCAAGCUCUAGACCUGCUUCCAUCGAUCCUAAUUAUAGAGCAGAUCCAAGCUCCAGAUCUGCUUCCAUUGAUCCCAGACCUGCUUCCAUUGAUCCCAACUAUAGAGCGGAUCCGGGCUCUAGAGCUGCUCCCAUUGAUCCCAAUUAUAGAGUGGAUCCGAGCUCUAGAGUCGCUUCCAUUGACCCCAAUUAUAGAGCGGAUCCAAGCGCUAGAACUGCUCCGAUUGAU
rnacentral:lncRNA from 1 species